UACGAAGGACCCAAGCGUUAUCCGGCUUUAUUGGGUUUAAAGGGUGCGUCGGCGGAUUAUUAAGUCAGUGGUGAAAGCCUGCAGCUUAACUGCAGAACUGCCAUUGAUACUGAUGAUCUUGAGUAUGAUUGAGGUGGGCGGAAUGUGUCAUGUAGCGGUGAAAUGCUUAGAUAUGACACAGAACACCGAUUGCGAAGGCAGCUCACUAAGCCAUAACUGACGCUGAUGCACGAAAGCGUGGGGAGCAAACAGG
rnacentral:rRNA from 1 species